rnacentral:rRNA from 1 species
UACGUAGGGGGCAAGCGUUGUCCGGAAUCAUUGGGCGUAAAGCGCGUGUAGGCGGCCAGAAAAGUCCGCUGUGAAAACUCGAGGCUCAACUUCGAGCUGUCGGUGGAAACUUUCUGGCUAGAGUCCGGAAGAGGAGAAUGGAAUUCCUGGUGUAGCGGUGAAAUGCGCAGAUAUCAGGAAGAACACCCGUGGCGAAGGCGACCAUCUGGACGGAUACUGACGCUGAGACGCGAAAGCGUGGGUAGCAAACAGG